rnacentral:tRNA from 1 species
GAGACACUAGUAAAACAAGUCAUUACACGGCUUUGUCAAGGCUGAGUCGCGGGUUAAAUUCCCGCGUGUUUCA